GCGGAGGGAUCAUUAUUGCGUUUACAACUCCCAAACCCCUGUGAACAUACCAAUUGUUGCCUCGGCGGAUCAGCCCGCUCCCGGUAAAACGGGACGGCCCGCCAGAGGACCCCUAAACUCUGUUUCUAUAUGUAACUUCUGAGUAAAACCAUAAAUAAAUCAAAACUUUCAACAACGGAUCUCUUGGUUCUGGCAUCGAUGAAGAACGCAGCAAAAUGCGAUAAGUAAUGUGAAUUGCAGAAUUCAGUGAAUCAUCGAAUCUUUGAACGCACAUUGCGCCCGCCAGUAUUCUGGCGGGCAUGCCUGUUCGAGCGUCAUUUCAACCCUCAAGCCCCCGGGUUUGGUGUUGGGGAUCGGCGAGCCUCACGGCAAGCCGGCCCCGAAAUACAGUGGCGGUCUCGCUGCAGCUUCCAUUGCGUAGUAGUAAAACCCUCGCAACUGGUACGCGGCGCGGCCAAGCCGUUAAACCCCCAACUUCUGAAUGUUGACCUCGGAUCAGGUAGGAAUACCCGCUGAACUUAAGCAUAU
rnacentral:rRNA from 1 species